rnacentral:rRNA from 1 species
UCGAGCGAACGGACGAGAAGCUUGCUUCUCUGAUGUUAGCGGCGGACGGGUGAGUAACACGUGGAUAACCUACCUAUAAGACUGGGAUAACUUCGGGAAACCGGAGCUAAUACCGGAUAAUAUUUUGAACCGCAUGGUUCAAAAGUGAAAGACGGUCUUGCUGUCACUUAUAGAUGGAUCCGCGCUGCAUUAGCUAGUUGGUAAGGUAACGGCUUACCAAGGCAACGAUGCAUAGCCGACCUGAGAGGGUGAUCGGCCACACUGGAACUGAGACACGGUCCAGACUCCUACGGGAGGCAGCAGUAGGGAAUCUUCCGCAAUGGGCGAAAGCCUGACGGAGCAACGCCGCGUGAGUGAUGAAGGUCUUCGGAUCGUAAAACUCUGUUAUUAGGGAAGAACAUAUGUGUAAGUAACUGUGCACAUCUUGACGGUACCUAAUCAGAAAGCCACGGCUAACUACGUGCCAGCAGCCGCGGUAAUACGUAGGUGGCAAGCGUUAUCCGGAAUUAUUGGGCGCAAAGCGCGCGUAGGCGGUUUUUUAAGUCUGAUGUGAAAGCCCACGGCUCAACCGUGGAGGGUCAUUGGAAACUGGAAAACUUGAGUGCAGAAGAGGAAAGUGGAAUUCCAUGUGUAGCGGUGAAAUGCGCAGAGAUAUGGAGGA